AGAAGAAGCCACAUGUCCUGGGGCAGGGACUGGUUUAUUCACACUGUGCUUGUGCAGCACCUGGAUAGUGGUGACGGAGCGCAGCGCCGAGUGCUGGAGUAUGGCAACCAACACACGUAAUGACUCGGAGCCAAACGAGGAUUCUCCAAUCAAGGGCGAUGGCUGCUGCUCCUCGUGGCCUCCCUGUGCUGCUUUUUGCUGGGCACACGGAGCUGCUCCGACCAGAGGAGAGCAGAGGAGGGAAGGAAGAGCUUUGCCAUGCACCGGCAGCAGCAGGCAUGGGUGUGCAGCACUGCAGAAACCUCAUCCCAAGCAGCACUCCGCUGGCAUCGUUAGGAGCAGGGCACUGCCAUCAGCACUGCUGCCUCCAGCUGCUGAGCUCUGCUCCUCAGGAAAACCAGGUGGAGGAAAGAAAUUGCAGCCCCAAAGGGGAGGAGGGUGUUCAGCAGCUCUCCCUGCAGCUCUCUGUGCAUGCUCUCCGUGCAGGUUGUCCAUGCAGGCUCUGCAUGCAUGCUCUCCGUGCAGGCUCUCUGUGCAUGCUGUCCGUGCAGUCUGCCCAUGCAGCACACUCUCCUGCCUCCCCUCCAGGCCACUGUGGUUCACAGCAGCAGAGGAGCCUUGGUAGCCUUGGGAGAAAUUCUUGACAUGCAAACAGUUUCAGACUGCAC
ensembl:lncRNA